AUUAAUGGCUCAUCCAGCUUCAGACAAAAAUGGCAGUCAAAAUGGUAUUCCAUUGUUCAAGGAUAUUUAGCCAUGUGUCAGUGGCCAGGAUAAGCAAAGACGCAAAUUUCUGCAAUUCGGAGAAUCUAAGGAAGCAACAAAUGGUGAAGGGGCAACAAAGUUUAGUGAGCAGGAAGAACCUGUGGAUGGAAGCAGUUCAGACUCCAAGGCUGAAGCAGAGGAGGGGCGUCAAGAGACUGAUGAGGAAUCCAGGGAGUCUCCCUCUCCUGCUGCGACAAGCUCCCCUCCAGCCUUGUCUCCAAGAAGGCACAGAAUAAUGAGGAGAGUGGAACAGAGGCCAGAGAUGCUCAGGUGCUGUUUGAGACUGCUUGGGAGAGGAGGAGCCUUAGAAGGCAGGGACCUCAGUCCUGACAACUGCUCCACAGGGCCAAGACCUACUGGGAAGUGUUGCUGAGUUGUAUGUUCAUUUCCUUGAAUAAAAAGUUGACUGAGCACUGACAA